UACGUAGGGUGCAAGCGUUGUCCGGAAUUAUUGGGCGUAAAGAGCUUGUAGGCGGUUUGUCGCGUCUGCUGUGAAAUUUCGGGGCUCAACCCCGAACUUGCAGUGGGUACGGGCAGACUAGAGUGUGGUAGGGGAGACUGGAAUUCCUGGUGUAGCGGUGAAAUGCGUAGAGAUGCGGAGGAAUACCAGUGGCGAAGGCGGCCUCCUGGUCCUUAACUGGCGCUGAAGCGCGAAAGCAUGGGGAGCGAACGGG
rnacentral:rRNA from 1 species